CCUACGGGCGGCUGCAGUGGGGAAUAUUGCACAAUGGGCGCAAGCCUGAUGCAGCCAUGCCGCGUGUGUGAAGAAGGCCUUCGGGUUGUAAAGCACUUUCAGCGGGGAGGAAGGCGGUGAGGUUAAUAACCUCAUCGAUUGACGUUACCCGCAGAAGAAGCACCGGCUAACUCCGUGCCAGCAGCCGCGGUAAUACGGAGGGUGCAAGCGUUAAUCGGAAUUACUGGGCGUAAAGCGCACGCAGGCGGUCUGUCAAGUCGGAUGUGAAAUCCCCGGGCUCAACCUGGGAACUGCAUUCGAAACUGGCAGGCUAGAGUCUUGUAGAGGGGGGUAGAAUCCCAGGUGUAGCGGUGAAAUGCGUAGAGAUCUGGAGGAAUACCGGUGGCGAAGGCGGCCCCCUGGACAAAGACUGACGCUCAGGUGCGAAAGCGUGGGGAGCAAACAGGAUUAGAUACCCGGGUAGUC
rnacentral:rRNA from 1 species